rnacentral:lncRNA from 1 species
CUGUUACGAACCGACUAAACUGCCGAUGAUUAGUGAACCGUCAUUAGGACGUAAUUAGUCAGUUAUUAGUCUAUAAACGCCGUACGGACGCGUCCGUCCGUACAGGCACCUUUUUAUACAGACGCCUUUUGCUUUGCGUCCCAAAUCCUUGUAUAAAUAUUCAGAUCAAUCAAUGAAAGAGAUCAUUCGCACACACACUUUCUG